rnacentral:rRNA from 1 species
CCUACGGGUGGCAGCAGUGAGGAAUAUUGGUCAAUGGACGAGAGUCUGAACCAGCCAAGUAGCGUGAAGGAUGACUGCCCUAUGGGUUGUAAACUUCUUUUAUAUGGGAAUAAAAUGUUCCACGUGUGGGCUUUUGUAUGUACCAUAUGAAUAAGGAUCGGCUAACUCCGUGCCAGCAGCCGCGGUAAUACGGAGGAUCCGAGCGUUAUCCGGAUUUAUUGGGUUUAAAGGGAGCGUAGGUGGAUUGUUAAGUCAGUUGUGAAAGGUCGCGGCUCAACCGUACAAUUGCAGUUGAAACUGGCAGGCUUGAGUACAGUAGAGGUAGGCGGAAUGCGUGGUGUAGCGGUGAAAUGCUUAGAUAUCACGAAGAACUCCGAUUGCGAAGGCAGCUCACUGGACUGCAACUGACACUGAGGCACGAAAGUGUGGGUAUCAAACAGGAUUAGAUACCCCAGUAGUC